AUGGCCACAUCACAUUAAAAGUCCGAUUCUCAUACAAUCACUGAAGUUAAGAAAUAUUGAGCAUGGUCAGUACCUAGAUGGGUAACCACUUGGGAAUACCAGGUGCUGUAAG